GAUGAACGCUGGCGGCGUGCCUAAUACAUGCAAGUCGAACGCGCAGCGAAAGGUGCUUGCACCUUUCAAGCGAGUGGCGAACGGGUGAGUAACACGUGGAUAACCUGCCUCAAGGCUGGGGAUAACAUUUGGAAACAGAUGCUAAUACCGAAUAAAACUUAGUGUCGCAUGAUACAAAGUUGAAAGGCGCUACGGCGUCACCUAGAGAUGGGUCCGCGGUGCAUUAGUUAGUUGGUGGGGUAAAGGCCUACCAAGACAAUGAUGCAUAGCCGAGUUGAGGGACUGAUCGGCCACAUUGGGACUGAGACACGGCCCAAACUCCUACGGGAGGCUGCAGUAGGGAAUCUUCCACAAUGGGCGAAAGCCCGAUGGAGCAACGCCGCGUGUGUGAUGAAGGCUUUAGGGUCGUAAAGCACUGUUGUAUGGGAAGAAAUGCUAGAAUAGGGAAUGAUUCUAGUUCGACGGUACCAUACCAGAAAGGGACGGCUAAAUACGUGCCAGCAGCCGCGGUAA
rnacentral:rRNA from 1 species